rnacentral:rRNA from 1 species
UUUUCGACCUGAACUCAGAAAAAGGGUACCCGCUGAACUUAAGCAAAU